rnacentral:rRNA from 1 species
UACAGAGGGUGCAAGCGUUAAUCGGAAUUACUGGGCGUAAAGCGUGCGUAGACGGUUGCGUAAGUCAGAUGUGAAAGCCCCGGGCUCAACCUGGGAAUUGCAUUUGAGACUGCGUAGCUAGGGUGCGGAAGAGGGAAGCGGAAUUUCCGGUGUAGCGGUGAAAUGCGUAGAUAUCGGAAGGAACAUCAGUGGCGAAAGCGACUUCCUGGACCAAUACUGACGCUCAUGUGCGAAAGCGUGGGGAGCAAACAGG